UACGGAAGGGGCAAGCGUUGUUCGGAAUCAUUGGGCGUAAAGGGCGCGUAGGUGGCUCUGCGUGUCUACCGUGAAAGCGUACGGCUCAACCGUAUUUUGUCGGUAGAAACUGCAGGACUUGAGGCUGGGAGGGGCUGGUGGAAUUCCCUGUGUAGCGGUGAAAUGCGUAGAGAUGGGGGAGAACACUCGUGGCGAAGGCGGCCAGCUAGACCAGUUCUGACACUGAGGCGCGAUAGCGUGGGGAGCAAACAGG
rnacentral:rRNA from 1 species